rnacentral:rRNA from 1 species
CCUACGGGAGGCAGCAGUGGGGGAUAUUGCACAAUGGGGGGAACCCUGAUGCAGCGACGCCGCGUGGGUGAAGAAGCGCCUCGGCGCGUAAAGCUCUGUCAGCAGGGAAGAAAAUGACGGUACCUGAAGAAGAAGCCCGGGCUAACUACGUGCCAGCAGCCGCGGUAAUACGUAGGGGGCAAGCGUUAUCCGGAUUUACGGGGUGUAAAGGGGGCGCAGACGGCGAUGAAAGCCAGGUGUGAAAGCCCGGGGCCCAACCCCGGGACUGCACUUAAAACUGCGUGGCUGGAGGGCAGGAGGGGAAAGCGGAAUUCCUAGUGUAGCGGUGAAAUGCGUAGAUAUCAGGAGGAACACCAGUGGCGAAGGCGACCUGCUGGACUGCACCUGACGUUGAGGCGCGAAAGCAUGGGGAGCGAACAGGAUUAGAUACCCGAGUAGUC